rnacentral:rRNA from 1 species
CCUACGGGAGGCAGCAGUGAGGAAUAUUGGUCAAUGGGCGCAAGCCUGAACCAGCCAAGUCGCGUGAGGGAAGACUGCCCUAUGGGUUGUAAACCUCUUUUAUAAGGGAAGAAUCAUUACUACUUGUAGCCUGAUGCCUGUACCUUAUGAAUAAGCAUCGGCUAACUCCGUGCCAGCAGCCGCGGUAAUACGGAGGAUGCGAGCGUUAUCCGGAUUUAUUGGGUUUAAAGGGUGCGUAGGCGGUUGUUUAAGUUAGUGGUAAAACGUCGGGGGUUCACCUUGAUUGGCCAUUACAACUGGAAGACUAGAGUACAGACGAGGUAGGUAGAAUAAGUUAAGUAGCGGUGAAAUGCUUAGAUAUA